CCCUUAGAUGUUCUGGGCUGCACGCGCGCUACACUGACGCACGCAACAGGUGCCUGCUCCGAGAGGACUGGGUAAUCAUUUGAGUGUGCGUCGUGAUGGGGAUAGAAUAUUGUAAUUAUUACUCUUCAACGAGGAAUUCCUAGUAAGCGCCAGUCAUCAGCUUGCGUCGAUUACGUCCCUGCCCUUUGUACACACCGCCCGUCGCUCCUACCGAUUGGGUGUGCUGGUGAAAUGUUCGGAUCGGCCGUUUGUCGCGGUUUCCGCGUCAUGUGGCUGAGAAGUUCAUUAAACCCUCCCACCUAGAGGAAGGAGAAGUCGUAACA
rnacentral:rRNA from 1 species